GCGCACGGUUCCGCAUGGAACAGUGUGAAAAACUCCGGUGGUACAGGAUGGUCCCGCGUCUGAUUAGCUAGUUGGUAAGGUAACGGCUUACCAAGGCGACGAUCAGUAGCCGGCCUGAGAGGGUGAACGGCCACAUUGGGACUGAGACACGGCCCAAACUCCUACGGGAGGCAGCAGUGGGGAAUAUUGCACAAUGGGGGAAACCCUGAUGCAGCGACGCCGCGUGAGUGAAGAAGUAAUUCGUUACGUAAAGCUCUAUCAGCAGGGAAGAAAAUGACGGUACCUGACUAAGAAGCCCCGGCUAACUACGUG
rnacentral:rRNA from 1 species